GGACUACUAGGGUAUCUAAUCCCGUUCGCUCCCCUAGCUUUCGCGCCUCAGCGUCAGGUAUCCCCCAGAAUACCGCCUUCGCCACGGGUGUUCUCCCAGAUAUCUACGCAUUUCACCGCUACACCUGGAAUUCCAUAUUCCCCUAGGACCCUCUAGCUCGACAGUCUCGAGAGCCAUUGCUGGGUUAAGCCCAGCGCUUUCACUCCCGACUUAUCGAACCGCCUACGCGCCCUUUACGCCCAGUGAUUCCGGACAACGCUUGCCCCUUACGUAUUACCGCGGCUGCUGGCAC
rnacentral:rRNA from 1 species